GAUGAACGCUGGCGGCGUGCCUAAUACAUGCAAGUCGAGCGAACAGACGAGGAGCUUGCUCCUCUGACGUUAGCGGCGGACGGGUGAGUAACACGUGGAUAACCUACCUAUAAGACUGGGACAACUUCGGGAAACCGGAGCUAAUACCGGAUAAUAUAUUGAACCGCAUGGUUCAAUAGUGAAAGACGGUUUUGCUGUCACUUAUAGAUGGAUCCGCGCCGCAUUAGCUAGUUGGUAAGGUAACGGCUUACCAAGGCAACGAUGCGUAGCCGACCUGAGAGGGUGAUCGGCCACACUGGAACUGAGACACGGUCCAGACUCCUACGGGAGGCAGCAGUAGGGAAUCUUCCGCAAUGGGCGAAAGCCUGACGGAGCAACGCCGCGUGAGUGAUGAAGGUCUUCGGAUCGUAAAACCCUGUUAUUAGGGAAGAACAAAUGUGUAAGUAACUAUGCACGUCUUGACGGUACCUAAUCAGAAAGCCACGGCUAACUACGUG
rnacentral:rRNA from 1 species